rnacentral:tRNA from 1 species
GUCACCUUCGUCUAGUGGUUAGGACACCGGGUUUUCAUCCCGGCAACGGGGGUUCAAUUCCCCCAGGUGAUGCUA